UACGUAGGGUGCAAGCGUUAAUCGGAAUUACUGGGCGUAAAGCGUGCGCAGGCGGUUAUGUAAGACAGUUGUGAAAUCCCCGGGCUCAACCCUGGGAACUGGCAUCUGUGACUGCAUAGCUAGAGUACGGUAGAGGGGGGAUGGAAUUCCGCGUGUAGCAGUGAAAUGCGUAGAUAUGCGGAGGAACACCGAUGGCGAAGGCAAUCCCCCUGGACCUGUACUGACGCUCAUGCACGAAAGCGUGGGGGAGCAAACAGG
rnacentral:rRNA from 1 species